rnacentral:rRNA from 1 species
ACGCUCGACACCUACGGGAGCAGCAGUGGGGAAUAUUGCACAAUGGGGGAAACCCUGAUGCAGCAACGCCGCGUGAAGGAAGACGGUUUUCGGAUUGUAAACUUCUGUUCUUAGUGAAGAUAGUGACGGUAGCUAAGGAGCAAGCCACGGCUAACUACGUGGCAGCAGCCGCGGUAAUCUGAGCGGGCUGGCAAGGC